rnacentral:rRNA from 1 species
UACGAAGGGGGCUAGCGUUGUUCGGAAUUACUGGGCGUAAAGCGCACGUAGGCGGCUUUUUAAGUCAGGGGUGAAAUCCCGGGGCUCAACCCCGGAACUGCCCUUGAAACUGGAGAGCUAGAAUCUUGGAGAGGCGAGUGGAAUUCCGAGUGUAGAGGUGAAAUUCGUAGAUAUUCGGAAGAACAUCAGUGGCGAAGGCGACUCGCUGGACAAGUAUUGACGCUGAGGUGCGAAAGCGUGGGGAGCAAACAGG